GAGUGGUGGUCCUUGUGUCCUCAUUUCCUCUAGUCUGUCCCAAGCUUCAUCGAUGUCUUCAUCCUCCUUCUGCUCAAAGCUACAUAUUUCCUUUCUCAACUU